rnacentral:rRNA from 1 species
GCGGCAUGCCUACACAUGCAAGUCGUACGGAGAGUGGGGCAACUCACUCUCAGUGGCAAACGGGUGAGUAACGCGUGAAUAACCUACCUUUGAGAAAGGGAUAACUGUCCGAAAGGAUAGCUGAUACCCUAUAUUGCCUUUUGUCACUAAGGGAAAAGGUGAAAGCGAGGCUGUCAAAGGCUUCGGCUCAAAGAGGGGUUCGCGUCCUAUCAGGUAGUUGGUGGGGUAAUGGCCUACCAAGCCAAUGACGGGUAGCUGGUCUUAAAGGAUGAUCAGCCACAGUGGGACUGAGACACGGCCCGCACCCCUACGGGGGGCGGCAGUGGGGAAUCGUGGGCAAUGGGCGCAAGCCUGACCCCGCAAUGCCGCGUGAGGGAAGAAGCCCUUCCGGGUGUAAACCUCUGUCAGAUGGGAAGAUGAGACUAGGGGCUAAUACCUCCUGGUCUUGACGGUACCAUCAUAGGAAGGGACGGCUAACUACGUGCCAGCAGCCGCGGUAAUACGUAUGUCCCGAGCGUUGCGCGAUGUUACUGGGCGUAAAGCGUCCGUAGCUGGUUUCGUAAGCGGAUUGUCAAAACCCAAAGCUUAACCUCGGCAAGGCAUUCCGAACUGCGUUACUUGAGUCCUGUUCACGUCAGCGGAAUUCCCGGUGUAUCGGUGAAAUGCGUAGAUAUCAGGACGAACACCAGUGGCGCAAGCGGCCUACUGUGACGGUACUGACAGUCAUGGACGAUAGCUGGGGGAGCAAAUCCGAUUANAUACCCUGGUAGUC